GACUUGGCGGUGCUCCAUAUCACCCUAGAGGAGCCUGUCCUAUAAUCGAUACCCCCCGUUCCACCCUACCAUUUUUUGCAAAUCAGCUUAUAUACCGCCGUCGCCAGCUUACCUUAUGAAAGACCAAAAGUAAGCAAAAUAGCUACAAGCUAAUACGUCAGGUCAAGGUGUAGCACAUAAAAUGGAAGAGAUGGGCUACAUUCUCUUAUACAGAUAAUACGAACACCACAGUGAAACCCGUGCUUGAAGGAGGAUUUAGCCGUAAGGCAAAUAAGAGCAUUUGCCUAAACCCCGCUCUGGAGCGCGC
rnacentral:rRNA from 1 species